CCUACGGGGGGCAGCAGUGAGGAAUAUUGGUCAAUGGGCGCGAGCCUGAACCAGCCAAGUAGCGUGAAGGAUGACUGCCCUACGGGUUGUAAACUUCUUUUAUAAAGGAAUAAAGUGAGGCACGUGUGCCUUUUUGUAUGUACUUUAUGAAUAAGGAUCGGCUAACUCCGUGCCAGCAGCCGCGGUAAUACGGAGGAUCCGAGCGUUAUCCGGAUUUAUUGGGUUUAAAGGGAGCGUAGAUGGGUUGUUAAGUCAGUUGUGCAAGUUGGCGGCUCACCCGGAAAAUGGCAAUUGAUACUGGCAGUGUUGAGUACAGUUGAGGUAGGCGGAAUUGGGGGUGUAGCGGGGAAAUGCUUAGAU
rnacentral:rRNA from 1 species